rnacentral:rRNA from 1 species
CCUACGGGCGGCUGCAGUGAGGAAUAUUGGUCAAUGGGCGGAAGCCUGAACCAGCCAAGUCGCGUGAGGGACUAAGGCCCUACGGGUCGUAAACCUCUUUUGCCGGGGAUCAGUGCCCAGCUCGCGAGCUGGGCGGGAGCGUACCCGGAGAAAAAGCAUCGGCUAACUCCGUGCGAGCAGCCGCGGUAAUACGGAGGAUGCGAGUGUUAUCCGGAUUUAUUGGGUUUAAGGGGUGCGUAGGCGGGCCUUCAGGCCGGCGGGAAAAUUGCGGGGCUCAACCCCGCCGAGCCGUCGGAACCGGGGGCCUUGAGUACCGGAGAAGUACGCGGAAUGCGUGGUGUAGCGGUGAAAUGCAUAGAUAUCACGCAGAACCCCGAUUGCGAAGGCAGCGUACCGGCCGGUCACUGACGCUGAGGCACGAAAGCGCGGGUAUCGAACAGGAUUAGAUACCCGAGUAGUC